rnacentral:rRNA from 1 species
GACGAACGCUGGCGGCGUGCUUAACACAUGCAAGUCGAACGGAAAGGCCCUGCUUUUGUGGGGUGCUCGAGUGGCGAACGGGUGAGUAACACGUGAGUAACCUGCCCUUGACUUUGGGAUAACUUCAGGAAACUGGGGCUAAUACCGGAUAGGAGCUCCUGCUGCAUGGUGGGGGUUGGAAAGUUUCGGCGGUUGGGGAUGGACUCGCGGCUUAUCAGCUUGUUGGUGGGGUAGUGGCUUACCAAGGCUUUGACGGGUAGCCGGCCUGGGAGGGUGACCGGCCACAAUGGGACUAAGGUAAGGCCCAGGACCCUACCGGAAGCAAGGGGGGGGAAUAUUGCACAAUGGGCGGAAGCCUGAUGCAGCAACGCCGCGUGCGGGAUGACGGCCUUCGGGUUGUAAACCGCUUUCGCCUGUGACGAAGCGUGAGUGACGGUAAUGGGUAAAGAAGCACCGGCUAACUACGUG